CCAUACAUGGCAGAGAAGUAUUUGGACUCAUUUAGGGCAGAUGAAAACAUGAGCAUGAAGAACUUCUCUAGGGUGGUGCAGGAACAAUGGAAUAUGAAGCCUACAAGGAGUAAGCUUAGGAGAGCAAAAAGGUUGGCUCUUAAUAUUGUCCAUGGAGAUGAGGAGAAACAGUACAAUAAGCUUUGGGACUAUGCAAAUGAAUGGAGAAGGUCAAAUCCAGGGAGCAGAUUUUAUUUAGCAGCAGAUACAGAUGGUACUUUCCUACACUGCUAUUUCUCUUUGGAGCCAUGCAAGAGAGGGUUUAUGCAGGCUUGUAGGCCAGUAAUCUGCCUAGAUGGAUGCCAUUUGAAGACCAGAUAUGGAGGUGUUCUUCUCACUGCAGUUGGACUAGAUCCAAAUGAUUGCAUCUAUCCAAUUGCUUGUGCUAUUGUUGACAUUGAGAACACUGACACCUGGAGGUGGUUCUUAUCCUCUCUGAAACAAGACCUAGCCAUUACUGAAACUGAUCUGUGGACUAUUAUGUCUGACAAGCAGAAGGGUUUGAUCAAAGCUGUCAGAGAUUACUUUCCACAUGCAGAGCACAGGUUCUGUGUCAGGCACUUGUGGCAAAACUACCAACAGCAGUUUAGGGGUGAAGUGCUCAAGAACCAGCUGUGGAAAUGUGCUAGGAGCACAACUCCUUCUGAUUUUGAACAGAACAUGGAAGAGCUUAAAGUGAUAAACUUUGAAGCAUGGAAAUGGCUGUCAGGG
rnacentral:rRNA from 1 species